CGGCGCGACUCGAGGCGAGACGGCAGCAGCGCGACUCGAGGUGAGACGGCAUGUGGCGGCACACACGGCGCGGUACCACCACCUCCGCCACCUUCGCGCCGCUCUCGCCGCGGCCCUGAUGGAUUUGUGUGCGCUGGUCUUCCAGUAGCGCGGGCAGCGGGGGUUAGGGUUCUUGGAGGUUGGAGCUCGAUAUAUUCAAGGAGAAAUCACUGCAGCUGAUUGCCGAUUGGCCCACCCGCCUGCUUCGCAUCGGCAGCCAGCAGGCCGGCCGGCCCGCCGGCGAGCAGCACCUACCGAUUCGCAGCUCUUACAUUUGUAGUGUUAGGGAAAUCAUUGCUCUUACGUUUCGUCACAUUUGUGCAGAUCGAGCAGCUGGUUUAUCUGAUCUUCUGAGCAUGAUGUUGCUUUCAAGCAGUUGGAGUGCUAGGGAGAGACUGAUCCGUUCAUGAUCCCAUCCUUGCUCCUGCCGUCCUGCCCAGCUGACUUUUGAAGUAGGAGAUGGAUACAACAUUAGGAGGCUCCAAGUUCAAUACUCAAGCUGCUAGAAAGACAUAGGACAAGACCAUGGUCUGAGUAUAAGAGGAUUUAUCAUGCUAUUUUAUCCUGCAUCAUCAUAUGUUAUCUACCAAUUGGAUUUUGAGAAUAGGCUUUGUCAGUUCUGUUUAUUUGUUGCUUUGACAAUCUUUCAAACAUGACUCAAUAGGUUUUAUGUAAAGACUCGCACCUGGGUAUUUAUUUUCAGUUUUUUUGAGAGUAUACGGUGAAGAUUCAAAUAUGUUUAUAUAUU